rnacentral:snRNA from 1 species
GUGCUUGCCCCAGCAGCACAUAGACCAAAUUUGGAAUGAUACAGAGAAGAUGAGUAUGACGCCGGCACAAGAAUGACCCACAGAUUUGUGACGCCUUCCAUACUUAA